ensembl:lncRNA
AGGGAAUGUGUCAAUGAAGUUUACCAGAAAUGGCAAAAGUGUGAAAACAACAUCAAACAUCAGAAAACAGAAGUACGAAAAGAACAGACAGUGGCUGUGAUGGACACUUGUGAAAAAUUAUCAGUAUGUUACGUCUUCGGAAACAUGAGAACAGUUUGGAAUUAAUCUAGACAUGUACAUUUAUUUUACUUUCUCAUCAUGAAUCACUUUGGAAAACACUAUCUAAUAUGAUUAAGCUUGUGGUUAAGGUUAGGGAUAAAUUUAGGGUUAGUGCUGGAAUACAAAAACUUGUGUUACUGCCAGGAGCGUCAUUCUAUUGAAUUCCAUCCACAAUCUGGCGCGUUUCAUAGGGACGCAGAAGGAUACCUUACUAUGAGACGCCUCGGGAUGUGACAAAUUGUCGGUAUGUUACACACUGGGAAUGAGAACCGACUCUCACACCCUGAUGCGAAACUGGAACCGAUGAGUCACGUAUUUGGACCUUUGCACUUUGUUUGUGCUGUUGGAGCAUUUUUGGAUAUUUAAUGAUGUCGUCUGAUUAAUAUUAAGGCUUACUGUGUAAUACAGACUAUCCAAAAAAAUACUGCUUCAGUGUUGAUAAGUGCAAUUUUAUUUUUUUAUUUUUUUAUAUUAUUCUAAUUAGAAGGUUUAUUUAAAACCUACAACCUCAAUCUUGAUGAAUAAAGCUUGCUAGACCCCAGACCUUGUGAGAUGGAUGAGCGAGUGGUGCAGAUUUCCAGGUUAUUAAUUAAGUUUCCUGGGUUUUGUUUUCUGUUUUUUACAAAUAGGUCAACACUUCAAGAGGAUUCAGAACUGAAUCAUGAAGUCCCAGGUUAAACCCUCUGAUUGCAGGCCAAGAAAAGUGAUGCUUCUUGGUCUGGAAGCACUCAGUCAUAGCAUGUUUACCAGCUUGGGCGAGGUCUUUUACUCUGCCCACCAAUGGUGACAGUUCUUGAGAUUAAGAUGACAGGACCUUUUGAGGUGAAUGUCGCACUAAAUGCUUCCAUUUGCCACAGAAUAUUUGUCUGUUUCUCCAUCUCCCUCCUUCUCUCAUCCAUUGCCCUUGCCUCUCCUGAGCACCGGCCUGUUCGCAUGGUAAUGUUACCAUUUACAUAAAUGAAUUCUACAUUUUUCCAUUUUAUAUGUGCAUAUAUGGCACUGAAAUAAGGACUUAAUG